GAUCAUUUUUGCAAAGCAACUUCAUUGUGGCCGAACCGGAUUCUUGGUGCUAUGGUUGGAGAGAGUAAGGCUGGUGAAGUCUGGCCAUGUGAUUAGCCACUGUCCUGCUGAUCAAGAAUCACUGCUUUUGGUCUUCAGGAGUGACUCGGAAACCCAUCUCAGAGGGUGAUGGAAGACCUAGGACCUUCUCACUUGUGUGGCAGCAAAGAGAUCCUGCAUUUUACGGACUCAUUGCGUGUGGAGACCCAUGACUCCUCCACGGCGUUUUCAAACUCAGCCAAAUUCCCACUUUUGAAAUGUUACAAGACCAUUUCAGUUUCCAUGAAGGUGUAUAUGUUGCUACUGUAUCCAUCAUCUAUUCUAUUGGAUUUUAAACUUUCUGUUGUGAUGAAAUAUCACCUCAGAUAUGCAGAUGACACCACCCUUACGGCAGAAAGUGAA
rnacentral:lncRNA from 1 species